rnacentral:tRNA from 1 species
UGUCCAGGGAUGGAAAACAAACCCACAGUGUUCCGCUUACCAGGAAGAUGCCAUAUCCACUAGGCUACCCUUGGAC